UUCAGCAUGACAUGCCUGUUUUGCGGCGAUGGUGGUGCCUGUUGCUCCUGGAGAACAAUUCUUUGAACAGGUAGACAGUUUAAGUAAACUAGAUGCCCUAAUUAACUGGAAGACAAUCAAUAUAUUGUACUUAAAGAUAUAUUGUCAUUACAGUUGUGGGAAAAUCUUCGCCCACUGGACCAAAGAAUGUCAAGAGCUCAUUGCUGGAAAGCAUACUCCGGUCUUCAGUCUAAAGAGGAAGGCAGAGCAGCAGGACAUAGAGGUUAGAAAAUUGCCUUCUAAAAACAGUAUUAUCUCAGUGGGAGUCCUUCAAAAUGCACACAGUUGUAUGGAUCAACAUUGUCUCGAUGUAUUUGGUAAUUGAUGUUACUUUUCAAAUUGACUUGUCAAGGAAACCAUGACGCAGACGGCAUCGGAUGUCCAAAGAAUGUGCAUGGCAGAUUCAAUGCAAUUCUGUGUCUACCAGACAUCGAACAACACAGGAGAGAGGUGUGUUGCAGACUCAAUUUAAUAAAUGCAAUUAUCGGGGCCUAUUCAGU
rnacentral:lncRNA from 1 species